rnacentral:lncRNA from 1 species
ACAAUUCAAGCUCAUUCCCUAUAUUUCAAUACCCCCUUCAAACUGAAGGGCUUUUGGCAAUCAUCUAGUAUGCAUGUGAAUCUAGGUCAACUCAACACCAAUGACUAUUAGCAAAGAGUGGUUGAAGCUAUAAAAAAAGCAACUAUCGAAGAACUUUCAAAGGAUGGAUCCAAGCAAAAAAAGAGAAAAAAAAAUAUUAUAAAAAAAUGAAUAAAAAGAAAAAGGGGAUCUGCAAGUUAUUAAUCUUGUAAGUU